UAUGUCAUUUCUCACGUGGAGAAUCGAGUAAACAUGGUACCACAUUCUCCCUCAAGUACAACGGCCUUUGGAGCGACCCCAGGCCUGAGUGUGUUGAUAACGUGUUCCAUAAGUGGUGGGACAAAGGCUGCCAAGAACAGAGAGGUGGACUAGAGACAGACGACAACGGGAGACAGCGGGAUCCAGCAGCCCGGGUUGACCUGCACGUCCUGCACCGUCCUCUGUCUUCACGGAAACAGAUAAACGAAUGCCUGGCCAUCAUCUUGUUAAGAAGAGGAUCCUGCAAUUUAGCGUUAUCCUGGAGUAGCGCAAUCUUCCGGUCUCUCAAGAGUGGUGUAUGCCAGGUUAACACUCCCCGGAGAGGCAAAACAAGUCCCGUGGGCUCUACCGGAAAGGGCGUGACUUCGCCACUAUCGCGUUUGGUCAAGAGAUGAACGCCUGAAAAAAUAUAUUUGUAUUAUCAAAACUGACAACAGUCAGUAAACUGACAAAGUAGGUAAACCCGAUGUGAUCCAAGGACCAAACUAUUGAUUUAUUGUUUAAUUUAACUCUAUGCCUUCAGACGAAACACAACUUUGCAAUGCAGUCUGCCAUCCAUGGUAGCCUACUUUUCCCGCAAAAGUUAGUUGGUUUAUUCGGUGAUCAAUCGUUGAUAUUCUGUUGAAAAAUGUUAUGGACCUGUCAAAAUGCUAAUUAGAAACAAACACCAAUUCGUUUUUGUAUUCAUAUUUUUUUUUUCUUUGACUAAAAGCCACAUUUGGGAAUUUA